CUUGUGUGCCUUCCUCGACACAGCCUCUUGCCUUCUCCUGUCAUCUCUGGUUCUCCAACACCACCGCUGUCACCUGUCAGCCCCCCUGCUCACCCUCAGCCCACCAUCUGUGCGCUGGAUUCGCCACGGGUCGGCCAGUCUCCAUCGGCGUCGUGGCUGGAGGAUCCCUUGUCUCCGCUUCCAGCCUCCAAGUCCCUCACUCCGCCUCAGCCCGUCGACUCCACCAUGGCUCCUAGCUCCCUCGUCUCCACCGUGGCCGAUCAGUCCACCAGCUCCACCGGUCUCCAUCUUCCCUCCGGCUCCGCCUUUGUCAGCCGUCGACCAUCCACAGCCUGGGGACUCCACUCCUCAGGCUACACCUCGUCCCUCCGUCCCUAUGGCUCUGUCAGGCUCCUCCUUCCCUCCGUCCUAGACCUCAGUCCUCUGUCGCUCCGGCUCCACGGCGGCCUUCCGGACCCCCGCCUCUGCCUCGGUCGCCGGCGCCAUCUGCUCCGCCUUGGCCCUUCAGAUCCUCAGUGUUGCCCUGGCUCAUCGGCUCUCCGUCUCCGCCUCGGGCUCUUCCACCUGCUCUGUUGCCGUCAGUCGGCCCCCUGGAGUUGUCAGCCCUUCCUCCACCAUGGCUCCUCCCUCCGUCGGCUCCACCGUGGGCUGCCAUCAUGGCUGGGGCCUGGGUCCCGCCUGGCUCCUCCUCCUGCUCCAGUUCCCUUUUGUCAUCACCCUGGCUCCUCCCUCUGUCAUCACCACCCUGGACUCUGUUUAUCGUCCUCCUCCCGGUCAUCCGGCCACCUCCUGAACCUCUUCCCGCCAGUUUGUACCAAUCUUUGGCCAUCCCUCCAUCUCCUUCAUUCUCUAUGGCGCGGGGGCGCGCCUUCCGGGAGGGGGGUGAAAUGUAAAUGUAACACCCUAUGGACUUUUGUGUUUGUUUUCAUUUCAUCCCUUGUGUUAUUUGACCUAGUUCCUGUCUCCUGUUAAUUGUGUCAUUAUGUUCAGGUGUGUUAAAUCAUUAUCCUCAUUUACGUUCCCCUUAUAAAUUGCAUUCUGUUCAGUGUUUCUUUGUCCGGUAUUACGUUUGUGUUGGUGUGUGGCU
rnacentral:lncRNA from 1 species